CAGAGUUUACAAACUCCCUAAACCAAUUGUGAACCUACCACUAACAGUUGCUUCGGCGGGAACGCCCUGGCGCGACCUCGAGCCCCUUCAGCGGGGGGCUAGGGAGCGCCCUAGGACCAGGCGCCCGCCGGAGGUACCUCAAACUCUUUGUCUUACCACAGUCUAUCUUCUGAGUAUUGGCAAUACUUAAAAAUAAAUCAA
rnacentral:misc_RNA from 1 species